CUAACUGUUUUAUUUUUUAUAAGAUAAACCGAUUGAUAGAAAAUUUAAGAGCAAUAAAUACAUGCGUAAUUGUGUGAGUACUGAUUUAUUUUAAUGUUACACCCACGUAAUCUAGUACAGGCAAUUAACCCUUCAAAUUAUAUACAAAUUGAGAUCGUUCGGGGAACUGUCCCUAAGCCCUCCAAAUCGUUUGCGUGCAACUGUCCAGUAGGAUUAGGAUAAUUUGAAGAUUUUUCUGACCGUGGCGCGCAACUGACUCGUGCUCUAUCUAUACGGACCAUUGUAAAAAAAUAAAAUUUAUACAAUGAAAUUUGAAAAUUCCCCCUUACAAAGUUGAGGAUGUCAUUUCAAAAAUUUAUAAAGAAAAUCUUAUUUGAAAGAUACAGUUACAUGUGUACACAUAUUUCUAUAUUUCACAUAAAUAAUGGAAUUAGCCAAAUACACUGACGUCAUCCGAGGUCAUCAAAAUGGCAGCGUUUGACAAAUAGCCGGUUUUCUCAUAAGAGUCAAUGCUAAUAUUUUCGGAAUUCAUUUAAAUCUGAGAGUGUGUCAACUGUGUUUUUGUAGUUUGGAGAAAAUGCCUAAAUUUUGUGCUGUUGUGGAUUGCGCGAAUCGAAGCACCAGAAAUGCGGACAAAUUUUAUUUUCCUUUCCCAGCAACUAGCAACAAUAAAGGUAAAUAUAUACAGGAUGGGGAAAAAGGCGGAAGCUUUGGUUAAAAGCCUUGAAACGAGUGGAUUUAACGAAGCCAAAGUAAAGUAUUCCUAUAUUUGUUCGGAUCAUUUUAUUUUAGGUAAACCUGCAGAUUUGUCGGAUGUGGACCACCCUGAUUAUGUUCCAUCACAAAAUUUAGGAUAUCAAAAUAAAUCCACUCAUAAUACUUGUAAUGUUGAAAGACACAGUCGUUUAAAAAAAAGAAAACUGAAUAAAUGC